rnacentral:SRP_RNA from 1 species
GCUGGGUGUGGUGGUGCACACCUGUAGUCCCAGCUACUUGGGAGGCUCAGGUGGGAGGGUCACUCGAGCCCAGGAGUUCAAGGCUGCAGUGAGCUGUGAUCAUGCUAGUUCACUCCAGCCUGGGCAAAGGAGUGAGACCUCAUCUCUA